CGGAGGGUGCGAGCGUUGUCCGGAAUCACUGGGCGUAAAGGGCGCGUAGGUGGCCGUGGCAAGCGUGCGGUGAAAGCCCGGGGCUCAACCCCGGGUCGGCCGUGCGGACUGCCGGGCUGGGGCCCACUAGGGGCAGGCGGAAUUCCGGGUGUAGCGGUGGAAUGCGUAGAGAUCCGGAAGAACACCGGUGGCGAAGGCGGCCUGCUGGGGUGGAGCCGACACUGAGGCGCGACAGCGUGGGGAGCAAACAGGAUU
rnacentral:rRNA from 1 species